AAACAUCUAAGUACCUAGAGGAAGAGAAAGAAAAAUCGAUUUCCUUAGUAGCGGCGAGCGAAAGGGAAAGAGCCCAAACCAAAGAUUUAUCUUUGGGGUUGCGGACAGAGCAUUAACGAGAAGUCGUAACUAACCGAACAUAACUGGAAAGUUAGACCGUAGGAGGUAAUAGUCCUGUAGGUGAAAGUUAAGAUAAUCAAGCUCUGAUCCAGAGUACCACGAGACACGUGAAACCUUGUGGGAAGCAGGGAGGACCACCUCCCAAGGCUAAAUACUACCUGAUGACCGAUAGUGAAGCAGUACCGUGAGGG
rnacentral:rRNA from 1 species